AGAUUGUGAUCCACCCUACGGUAUGAAAUAGGCCCAAGGAGAAGGGUGUCAAGAAUCCUCAUUUACAGCUUUGAGCACAGCAACUUUGAACACUAUAAAAGCUACCCAACAGGGAUGAAGCUCUAAGGCCAUUCUUCAAGGUUGAUAUUUCUCAGAAUUCAACAAGGUUAUGAGAUGAUGCCUACAUGGAUCCCAAAGCGGCCAGCACAGAUUAUCAGCCAGAAAUGCAUGUUCCAAAAAUUCAAGAAUCAUCCAAAGCAAUGAAGUCAGACUUGGACAGGGUUACUCAUUCUUAAGUGAAUUUGAAGGGACUGCCUAUGGCUGUGGAAUUCAAAGG